AUUGAACGCUGGCGGCAGGCCUAACACAUGCAAGUCGAGCGAGCGGCGGACGGGUGAGUAAUGUCUGGGAAACUGCCUGAUGGAGGGGGAUAACUACUGGAAACGGUAGCUAAUACCGCAUACCAUCAGAUGUGCCCAGAUGGGAUUAGCUAGUAGGUGGGGUAACGGCUCACCUAUGCGACGAUCCCUAGCUGGUCUGAGAGGAUGACCAGCCACACUGGAACGGAGCCCCGGUCCAGGUUCCUACGGGAGGCAGCAGUGGGGAAUAUUGCACAAUGGGCGAAAGCCUGAUGCAGCCAUGCCGCGUGUGUGAAGAAGGCCUUCGGGUUGUACAGCACUUUCAGCGGGGAGGCGUUACCCGCAGAAGAAGCACCGGCUAACUCCGUGCCAGCAGCCGCGGUAAUAC
rnacentral:rRNA from 1 species